rnacentral:snRNA from 1 species
UCACUUACCUGGACGGGGUCAAUGGGCGAUCAAGAUAAUCCAUGGCCUAGGUUGGUGACCUCCAUUGCACUUCGGAGGGGUGCCCGCCUAAGGUCGGCCCAAGUGGUCGAGCCUACGUCAUAAUUUGUGGCAGUGGGGGCUUGCGUUCGCGCAGCCCUUG